rnacentral:lncRNA from 1 species
CCACAUCAACUAGAAAAAAACUGGAAACAUUUGAAGAGGCAUUGGGAUCACAAAGAGAGUGAAUCUAAACAUUGAACAGCAGGAGGAAGGGGAAGAAAAAGUCAGGAGUUAGCCAUGGAACCAAGAAGAUCCAGGAGAAGGUUGAGGGGAUGUUCAGAGAAGUGGAAAAUGAGAGAUUGAUUAUCAUGGAGGAAAAGCCCGAGAAGGUCCAGUAAAAGGUUUGGGAAGGUGAAGGAGGACAGGCUGAGUCCAAUUAAGUGUUCAGAGAUGUGUAGAAUGGAGAGCCUGGUCUCUUGAUGGCAGCUGGGGGAGCCAUGAUGGGAAUGGUCCUGCACUUCUCUUGAAUGGAGACAGACAAGAUAAACCUAGGCAGAGAGAAAACUUGCCUCAAUCUUGGAUUAAAUGCAGAGGUCUGCUUGAACAUUCCAAGGUCAAACUAAAAGUCUACAAGAGCAGGAGACUUGAUUCAAAACAGCUCGUCUCUGACUGGUUUUCAUGUGGGCAGAGGGGACUCUCUCGACACUAAGAUGACCACAGCUCACAUAGAGGUGUCAGCUGAAAUAUGGAGGAUUACCACUACUGUAGAAGAUGUCCUAUGCAAAAAAAAAAAAAACCAGCAUAAGCUAAUGAAAAUAUAUAGUGGUCACUUAUUCGGACAUUACAUGUCCUCAAGUCCUACAAAUUAUUUGGUAAGGCAGCUUUGUGAUUUGUUUUCACACAGCAAGAUGACUAGUGAAAAGAAUUUAAUGAUAAGCAAACACAUUGCAUAUAAAAACAUAUUAAAGAUACUUAUUUAGCAUGAAGGCUUAUUCCAGUUCACAGGCAUGGUAUUACCUUUACUAUAUACUUCCAUAAUUUAAACACAGAUAAGGAGAUAAUGUGGUUUCUUCAAAAUCCCUGGCCAGGUUUUGACCACAUUUUCUAUUGAGAAGACAUGUCCCCCUUUUCAUUCCCCUAGAAGCAAACUACCUAUGCACAAGUCAAAAGUGAGUAAAAUGUGUAAAAGGGAAAGGUGUGUUUCACCUAAGUGUCAUAUUCAGAAACAUCUGCUUUGCCUGGUGUAUAUGGCAUUAAUUUCCUGCCAGUUUUCUAUUGGAAGGCCCUUCUGAGUCUUCUGAAAUUGAACAUCAGGUCAUGUUUCUUUAAUCAACCUUGGAAACAAUGAAAGAAAGGAGUGGUGGAGAGGUUUCUUUUUAUAAAAUGUUCCUAAAGUCAAAAAAGUCUAGAAGAAAGAACAUGCACAACUUUGGACCAUGAGUCUGGGAUUUUAAUACCAAAAAGCACUUAUUCCCUGCCACCCCAUGUUGGUUAA